rnacentral:rRNA from 1 species
GAUGAACGCUGGCGGCGCGCCUAACACAUGCAAGUCGAACGAUUAAAGCACCUUCGGGUGUGUAUAAAGUGGCGAACGGCUGAGUAACACGUGGGCAACCUGCCCCUUUCAUUGGGAUAGCCACGGGAAACCGUGGAUAAUACCGAAUACUUCGAGACUUCCGCAUGGAAGACUCGAGAAAGCUCCGGCGGAGAGGGAUUGGCCCGCGGCCUGUUAGCUUGUUGGUGGGGUAACAGCCUACCAAGGCAAUGAAGGGUAGCUGGGUAGGGAGGGCGACCAGCGGAAAUGGGAAGGGGGGACAGCCCAGGAGCCCACGGGAGGCAGCGGGGGGGAAGGUGGGACAAAGGGCGGGAGCCGGAAGCAACAACGCCGCGGGGGGGAGGAAAGCCGUCGGGUGGGGAACCGAGUUCAGCCGGGGCGAAGCGUGUCGGGACGGUACCUGCAGAAGAAGCACCGGCUAACUACGUG